GCACUUUGCAUUGUAAUGUACGCGUUAUGUUUUAUCAUCUUGAUAAUAUGACUGCGUUGUUUAUCACAAAUAGCGCAAAGGUCAACUGUAUAAUAUUAUUAUUAUUGUCACACUGUGGCCCGUGAGAAAAACUACACGCGAAAUCCUGACAACAGAAUUUUGUUAUACCGGGCCACUGACCGCGAUGGAGUUCUCAUACCGAAUAAAUUGUACACUAUAUAAUAUUAUCGUGAAACUCCACGUC